AGCAGCCGCGGUAAUUCCAGCUCCAAUAGCGUAUAUUAAAGUUGUUGCAGUUAAAAAGCUCGUAGUUGAAUUUCGGGAUUAGUAGGUUGGUCGUGCCUCUGGUAUGUACUCGCCUUACUGAUUCCUCCUUCUUGAAGAACUGUAAUGCCAUUAAUUUGGUGUUGCAGGGAAACAGGACUGUUACUUUGAAAAAAUUAGAGUGUUUAAAGCAGGCCAUUGCCUGAAUACAUUAGCAUGGAAUAAUGAAAUAGGACGUUGAUCCUAUUUUGUUGGUUUCUAGGAUUGACGUAAUGAUUAAUAGGGAUAGUUGGGGGCAUUAGUAUUCAAUUGUCAGAGGUGAAAUUCUUGGAUUUAUUGAAGACUAACUACUGCGAAAGCAUUUGCCAAGGAUGUUUUCAUUAAUCAAGAACGAAAGUUAGGGGAUCGAAGACGAUCAGAUACCGUCGUAGUUUUAACCAUAAACUAUGCCGACUAGGGAUCGGAUGAUGUUAAUUUUUAACGACUUCAUUCGGCGCCUUAC
rnacentral:rRNA from 1 species